GGAUUGAUGAUGACUCGCCAAAUACACAUUCCUUGGAAAGCUGAACAAAAUGAGUGAAAACUCUAUACCGUUGUCCUCAUCGAACUGAGGUCC
rnacentral:snoRNA from 1 species